UACGUAGGUGGCAAGCGUUGUCCGGAAUUAUUGGGCGUAAAGCGCGCGCAGGCGGUCCUUUAAGUCUGAUGUGAAAGCCCACGGCUUAACCGUGGAGGGUCAUUGGAAAUUGGGGGACUUGAGUACAGAAGAGGAGAGUGGAAUUCCACGUGUAGCGGUGAAAUGCGUAGAGAUGUGGAGGAACACCAGUGGCGAAGGCGACUCUCUGGUCUGUAACUGACGCUGAGGCGCGAAAGCAUGGGUAGCGAACAGG
rnacentral:rRNA from 1 species